rnacentral:rRNA from 1 species
UGGGGAAUAUUGCACAAUGGGCGAAAGCCUGAUGCAGCGACGCCGCGUGCGGGAUGACGGCCUUGGUUGUAAACCGCUUUCAGCUCUGACGAAGCUUUUGUGACGGUAGGAGCAGAAGAAGCACCGGCUAACUACGUGCCGG